GACGAACGCUGGCGGCGUGCUUAACACAUGCAAGUCGAACGGAAAGGCCCUGCUUUUGUGGGGUGCUCGAGUGGCGAACGGGUGAGUAACACGUGAGUAACCUGCCCUUGACUUUGGGAUAACUUCAGGAAACUGGGGCUAAUACCGGAUAGGAGCUCCUGCUGCAUGGUGGGGGUUGGAAAGUUUCGGCGGUUGGGGAUGGACUCGCGGCUUAUCAGCUUGUUGGUGGGGUAGUGGCUUACCAAGGCUUUGACGGGUAGCCGGCCUGAGAGGGUGACCGGCCACAUUGGGACUGAGAUACGGCCCAGACUCCUACGGGAGGCAGCAGUGGAGAGUAUUGCACAAUGGGCGGAAGCCUGAUGCAGCACCGCCGCGUGCGGGAUGACGGCCUUCGGGUUGUAAACCGCUUUCGCCUGUGACGAAGCGUGAGUGACGGUAAUGGGUAAAGAAGCACCGGCUAACUACGUG
rnacentral:rRNA from 1 species